rnacentral:rRNA from 1 species
AUUGAACGCUGGCGGCAUGCCUUACACAUGCAAGUCGAACGGUAACAGGUCUUCGGAUGCUGACGAGUGGCGAACGGGUGAGUAAUACAUCGGAACGUGCCUAGUAGUGGGGGAUAACUACUCGAAAGAGUGGCUAAUACCGCAUGAGAUCUACGGAUGAAAGCAGGGGAUCGCAAGACCUUGUGCUACUAGAGCGGCCGAUGGCAGAUUAGGUAGUUGGUGGGAUAAAAGCUUACCAAGCCGACGAUCUGUAGCUGGUCUGAGAGGACGAUCGCCCACCAUGAGACUGAGACACGGCCCAGAGUCCGACGGGAGGCAGCAGUGGGGAAUUUUGGACAAUGGGCGAAGGCCUGAUCCAGCAAUGCCGCGUGCAGGAUGAAGGCCUUCGGGUUGUAAACUGCUUUUGUACGGAACGAAAAGCCCCGGGUUAAUACCCUGGGGUCAUGACGGUACCGUAAGAAUAAGCACCGGCUAACUACGUGCCAGCAGCCGCCGCCG